rnacentral:rRNA from 1 species
AUACGUAGGGUGCAAGCGUUGUCCGGAAUUACUGGGCGUAAAGAGCUCGUAGGCGGUUUGUCGCGUCGUCUGUGAAAACCAGCAGCUCAACUGUUGGCUUGCAGGCGAUACGGGCAGACUUGAGUAUUUCAGGGGAGACUGGAAUUCCUGGUGUAGCGGUGAAAUGCGCAGAUAUCAGGAGGAACACCGGUGGCGAAGGCGGGUCUCUGGGAAAUAACUGACGCUGAGGAGCGAAAGCGUGGGUAGCGAACAGGAUUAGAUACCCUGGUAGUCCACGCCGUAAACGGUGGGCGCUAGGUGUGGGUUUCCUUCCACGGGAUCCGUGCCGUAGCUAACGCAUUAAGCGCCCCGCCUGGGGAGUACGGCCGCAAGGCUAAA